rnacentral:rRNA from 1 species
ACUGAAUAGUAACAAUUUUAUUCUGAUUGAAAAAUCAGGUAAUAUUCUAAUGAUCUUUAAAAAUUAAACCGAGUUUAUUUUUGCUUUUUAAUUUUUGAAAAUUAAAAAAAUUAAAAAGAAAGAUUAUGCUAAAAUUGUUAAAAUACCUUAAGAUAUAUUAUCUCAAAAUAGGCUAUACUCAAAAAUAGUUUUAACUUUUUAAAUAAAUAAGAGUAUUUGGUGGAUGCCUUGGGUCUGAAAGUCGAUGAAGGACGUGAUUACCUGCGAUAAGCUU